rnacentral:rRNA from 1 species
CAGUCGCCACGGUAAUACGUAGGUGGCAAGCGUUGUCCGGAAUUAUUGGGCGUAAAGGGCUCGCAGGCGGUUUCUUAAGUCUGAUGUGAAAGCCCCCGGCUCAACCGGGGAGGGUCAUUGGAAACUGGGAAACUUGAGUGCAGAAGAGGAGAGUGGAAUUCCACGUGUAGCGGUGAAAUGCGUAGAGAUGUGGAGGAACACCAGUGGCGAAGGCGACUCUCUGGUCUGUAACUGACGCUGAGGAGCGAAAGCAUGGGGAGCGAACAGGAUUAGAUACCCCCGUAGUCCCUGUCUCUUAUAC